rnacentral:rRNA from 1 species
CAGUCGCCACGGUAAUACGGAGGGUGCAAGCGUUAAUCGGAAUUACUGGGCGUAAAGCGCACGCAGGCGGUUUGUUAAGUCAGAUGUGAAAUCCCCGAGCUUAACUUGGGAACUGCAUUUGAAACUGGCAAGCUAGAGUCUUGUAGAGGGGGGUAGAAUUCCAGGUGUAGCGGUGAAAUGCGUAGAGAUCUGGAGGAAUACCGGUGGCGAAGGCGGCCCCCUGGACAAAGACUGACGCUCAGGUGCGAAAGCGUGGGGAGCAAACAGGAUUAGAUACCCCAGUAGUCCCUGUCUCUUAUAA